rnacentral:lncRNA from 1 species
UUCACAGAGCAAGUAUAAUCUGUCAACUACUCAAGUUCUUCAACAUUGUAUAUACCUUGAGGCUUCAACAAAGGGAAGAUGAGUAGAUGAUAGCAACUGCAAGAGACCACCGACGACUGGCAAGGAGUAUGGCAACGGCAGCAAGGGGUCGACGACGACAAUUGAUGAGGACCAAGGAAGAAGCCAAGAAGGUUUUCUGGGUUUCAA